rnacentral:misc_RNA from 1 species
AAGUCGUAACAAGGUUUCCGUAGGUGAACCUGCGGAAGGAUCAUUAACUAGUAUUGAAGUCCACGGGGAUCAGGCUUUCCGAAAGGAGGGUGGGGGGAUGUUUGGUUCCCCCUGCUUGGGCAGACUGGAGAGCAUGGUGUAGCCACUUUUGUUGGCUACGUUAUGUUUGGCCUCUGCUGAUCGAGCUUGUCACCUGAAUUCUACUACCCUUGCUUUUUGCGCACCCAUUGUUUCCUCGGUAGGCUUGCCUGCCAGUAGGACCAUUUAAAACCCUUUGUGAUUGCAAUCAGCGUCAGAAACAACGUAAUCGUUACAACUUUCAACAACGGAUCUCUUGGUUCUG